rnacentral:misc_RNA from 1 species
CCGAGUUUACAACUCCCAAACCCAAUGUGAACGUUACCAAACUGUUGCCUCGGCGGGGUCACGCCCCGGGUGCGUAAAAGCCCCGGAACCAGGCGCCCGCCGGAGGAACCAACCAAACUCUUUCUGUAGUCCCCUCGCGGACGUUAUUUCUUACAGCUCUGAGCAAAAAUUCAAAAUGAAUCA